GAUUUCUAAAAUUGGAAUUAUGGGUGUGAAAAACAUUUUUAAAGCUAUUGAUAAUGUAGUAGUUGUACUCUAUUUGCUUAUUACAGGUCAAGUGACUUCUGUGUUCCAUGGCCACAGCUGACUAGCAAAGAAACUCAAGAGCAGUUAUAAAAACAGAAGACGAUGACAACUCAGAAGAAACAGCUGCCGAUACUCAAAUCAAUUGGCACACAUAUAGAGAAAAAGCCUGCCAAAUGAAACCAGCUUUGAGCUAUAGCUUUUGUGUAAGUUCACAUCGUUCACACGCAUGCUUUCCAGGCUCCUCAUCCUGUAAAUGUAUAUCUAACACAGCAAUGCAAAAUUGUGCUGAUGCAUACAAUUAACUCAUUCCAAGCAUUUCUUGCACCCAUGGUAAUAUGGCAUUGUGGGAGAAAGCAAGAGGGCAAUUUUCAGUACAUCUAUUUCUCAAAAUUGUGAAAAAUGCGAACAGAUUCAACCCCAAGGACAUGUGAACAUAGCAGCAUUAGCAAUGACAGCAUCUGCAGGUGCUGUUCCACUUCAGAUCCCUAGUAUUCCAUCAUCUCAGACAGCUCAAGGGCCAAAUGGACCACAAUGGCCAAAAAUACUUAACUUCAAAAAAUGGAUUAUAAAUCUGUACCUCAAAAGCAAAGAAACUGAAGGACUCAAUUUAGGCUAGGCAGAAUGAAUGUGUCCACAAAACAUAGUAUGAAAAACUAAGAAAUUUAAUCGCCAUUAAUUAGGUCUAGAGUCUACAUGUUUGAAUUUGUUAUGUCAGGCAACAUUCCGGCAUAAUGUGUCAAAGGAAGGAGCAGAAAGACUUGACUGCGUAUGCUGAACUAAUGCUGGUUGAUUUGCUGCCUACUCAAUGUUCAUGGAUUUGAAUCACUCUAAGCACUUUGUUCAAAGUUUCAUAUUGUCAUCUACAUAAUCCUUUUACAUGAAAUAACCAAAUAAGGUUAGUUUUACAUAUUUACAAGCAUAAAUACAAGCUUGUCAGUAAGGUCUUAAGUUGUAUUGAAGAAUUGAAAAGCAUCAAGCCCUCAGACAGUUGGAAAAGUUGGAAGAAACCACAGACACCUCAGACAUCUAGCACCUCUCUUCACCCCCACAAGUAAGGAUGGUGAGAAUCAGAAAGCAUUGCUUCAUAGUGGACACGCGAAUUCAGUACAUUCUAAAUCCUAAAUUCCCUACUAUAAGAAGCUGUGUGCAUGGUGGCAGGUCUCACUGCUGACAGUGUUGUGCAUGGAAGUGGACAUCUCACCAGGUCCUUCAUGUGCAGGACAGUCUUAUGACCAUGCACUCCUGUCCCGUAGGUACCCUAGUUGGGAUCACAGAUGCUCCAGGGACUGUCCCUGCUGCCCACUCUUCACCUAUUUCUGUGAAGGGUUACCCUCAAGAACCACUAAGUUUCUUGUUAGUGGUGGAUUGGACAAAGCUUUUUAAAAAACAUUUUGAAAAACCUGUGGUUUUAUUACUUAUUACUCUGGAAAUUUGGUCAAUGCAACACGCUUACACUUGAAAAUAUAUACAUGCCUGCCAAUACUCAAAAUGCUGGGUCUAACAUUAACAUCCAAUUAAAAACACAAUCUUAAAACUUUAACUCAAUAACAAAAAGAAAAGAGUAAGUAAAUUCACCAACACUAGGAACUUGAGAAGUGUACGGAUUUAUCUAGCCUACCCCAAUGCUCUGGGUAACUACAUCCCAAGUACACGGAUGCCACACACUUCAGACCCAUUCACUCACAGCCUUUUUCUGGAUUCUAAGAUAAUGGUAAUUAAAGCAACAUGAACACAUAAUCAUACAUGAGGCUUUCAAAUUACCUAUUUUCCUCCCAAACCUUAUAUUGCUUAUGAAAGACUGACAUUUAUGGGUGAAAAAAAUUAUCCCAAUACUAUUACAUUGGCUUGAAAAUUUUUAGAUUAUGCUAAGGAAAUUUUCAGGCAGACAUAUAUCUACUAUUAUUAAAAGAUGCUUCUUAGAGCUAGUAUGUAGCUAAACUAAUUUUGUACCUUAAGAAAAAAACUUUUAAAAAGUAAUAAUAAUGAUGUACAAACACCAGUAAGCACAAAAGAGGGUAAGAUUUUAAAGUCAACUACAAUUAACACCAAGAACUCACAACUGUCUGGCCUAAAAACCUGUUCUUGAAGUAAGAACAUGAGUCCUUGACUAAUAUGAGGUUAUCUAAUUUUACAUUAUCAUUUUAAAAAGAAAAUGAAACAAUUAGGGCCUAUUAGCAAUAACCUUUUCUAACUCUCUGGGCAGCCACUGGCACAAAUGUCCAAGAUGACAGCAGCACAGCACAAUCAGAAAGACUGAACCUGCAUGAGCCAAGGCUUUCCUUGCAACCUUUCCUCUAUCAAGUAAAAAUGGCAGACCCAGUUAGACUCACAGAGCACUGGCCCUAUGGUUUCAAUGAUAAAAAAACAAAAAAAACUUACACAAAAGAAGUAUCCAGACUAUAGACAGCACUCUUUUUGUUUUUUCACAUUUAUAUUUUAGGGCACAGUUUUGGGGAAGGGGAUACAAUGCUGCCUUACAAAGGACAUAGAAGUCCCUUGUUUGAGCUACCAACCUCUUAGCCACACAGAAAAAUGUCAGUCAUCCAUUUGUUAGGACCCAAAUCUCCUUCUACUGCUCACAAUAUGCAACACACAUUUUAAGGGGCUGUUGAAAUAGAAAAACAAAGGAAGCCCUUGAAAUAGAAGCUGAUCUUCCUUGUCUUGCCCUUCCUUUACCACGGUGCCUGCAUGCAUGCCUUAAAGCACUGCCACAUUGUUUCCACAUGCUCAGGCCCUUGAAACUUGUGCCAAAGCAUUGCAAAAUAAAACUGCAUAAACAUCACAUUUCAAAACAUCAGCUAGUAAUGGUGGGUCAGUCAUGUGGGCCAGAAUAAUCAUUAAUUAAAUCAUAACCUACAAACGUCCCUGACCCGAGUUAUUUUUUCAAAUAAUAAGGACAGGCAUUGAACACGUUUGGGGCCAUGGGCGUAUUUCAGAAAGAAUACCAGUGUAAUUCAUUCUGAAAAACCAUUAAAAAUGACUGUCCUUUUGCCACUUUCAGGAGUCAUAAAACAAUUUCACAAGCAGAAAACAGUUUAAAAGAUUAAAUUUUUUUUCAUUUUCCAAAAUCAACAUGUAAUUGCAUAGGCAUUAUUGAACUGCAUAAAAUCAAUACAAGAGAAGUGUAUGACGCUGGAGGUUUCUUUAAAAAGAGCUUAGAGCUCACUUUCCUUGGACCACAUGGAGAUAAUGCCCCCACACAAACGUACUACAAACUGGAUACAUAUUACUAGGGUUACUUACCUUAUAAAAGCUGAAUUUAUUCCUCUUGGCCAGAAGUCACAAAUGGUUGAAGUAAAACUCCCUUCAUUUGUUCUUCCAGCGAGCCAAAGCAAG
rnacentral:lncRNA from 1 species